GCUGUUAGUUACAUCCUCCAAGCACUUCCAAAGGCACGCUGCUCUGUAGAAAAAGCUGAGCUGCCCAGAAAGUUUGUGCAGGAAGAAGGCAGCAGUGUCAGUGCACGUCAUCCUGGGGGAUCUGAAAGCAUUUGUGAAGAGAACAGGGAAAGAAGAGGGAAGAGAGCAAAACCAACAGGCACUAGCACUGCUGCCCACAGGGGGCGGGGCUUGAGGCAGGGCCUGUGCCAGAGGGGGGCCUGGCACAGUUAGGGCCAGCUCAGGGCCCAGAGCAGAGGGGGAGCAGGCAGAGGCAGGGCCUUGGGGCCCAGGAUGGAGGAGGACCAGGCACAGCUGGGGCCAGCUCAGGGCCCAGAGCAGAGGGGGACCAGGCACAGCUGAGGCCACUGCAGGGCCCAGGUGGCAUUGUGCUUCCCAAGGAGCAUAUGGACCUUUUAGAUGGGAGUGCACAGCAAGGAUCCAACAGGGUCUCAGCUUCCUUCCUGCUCUGCACCUGAGUGAGGGACACCGUGACCUGCUCAGGAGGCAAGAUGUCAUGUCAGGGAGGUCAGCUCGUGCUAGAAGUCGAUGGCAUCGCUGUAUGAAUCAAGGUCAGUUUAGGAGCAGCUGCUGGUGGAAGGAAUCAAGUCCAGGCUAAUAAACGGAAGCAUCUCCUGGUAAGGUGUCAGAGGUGGCAGUAAUGAUGUCUGUCAUCAUAAAAACCAGAGGGCAGGCUUAUCCAAGUUCUUGCUGGCUGAUGUUUGGGAGUAUCUUGUUUUCCAGCUGAAUGAUAAGAAAGCUAAACAAGCUGAGCCAUUACAGCUUGAGCUGAAGUUGUGAAUGUGCUCCCGGAUGUUUCCUUUAGUGGUAAAUCAUGUUCUGGCACUGUGAUAGUCCUAUCUCUGUUAUGAUUUGGAGCACAGUGUCUGGUUGCAAGCCUUGUGUGCCUGUUCCAUGAACCUUGCUUUCUUUCUGUCUUCAGAGUAAGUGCAGGGUGCUUCCUUGCUUUUGGUGGAUUCAUCCAGGAGGCUUUCAGAAGGCCAAUUGCAGUAUUCAUUACAUGGAGACACACGAUGGGAAUGGACUGUCGUUGCCACCAGGCAAAAAAGAAGCCCUCAGCAGGCAAUCAUUCUGUUCCGCUUUUGGCCAGGCACAGUUGCUUGUCUUCCAGAAUGUCUGCAUAUGGAUGAAUGACAGCACAGUCCUGGGAAUUUUUAAGCAAGGUAGGAAGGGGGACCUGGGGAACUACAGGCUGGUGAGCCUCAGCUUUGUGCCUGGGAAAAUCAUGGAGCAGAUCCUCCUAGAAGCUCUGUUAAGGCAUAUACAAGACAGAGACCUGAGACAGCCAGCACAGUUUGACCAAGGGCAGAUCUUGUCUGAGCAAUGUGGUGUCCUUCUAUGAUGGAGAGAUGGCUUGGGUUGGCAGGGGAAGGGCAAUGGUUGUCAUCUACCUGGACUUCUUCAGAGCCUUUGACAUGUUCCCACACCACAUCCUUCUCUCUAAAUUGGGGAGGUGUUGGAUUUUGUGAUUGUUCAGUGGAUUAGGAAUUGGCUGGCUGGACGCAGGCAACGGGUUGUGAUCGAUGGUUCUGUGUCAGGGUGGAGGCUGAUCACAAGUGAUGUCCCUCUGGGUUUGGUACUGGUACUGAUGCUCUUCAACAUCAAUGACAUAGAUUAUGGCAUCGAGUGCACCCUCAGCAGGUUUGCAGACAAUACAAACUGAACAGUGUAGUCCAUACAUUGAAGGGAAGGGAAGCCAUCCAGAGGGAAUGGACAGGC